UACGAAGGGUGCAAGCGUUACUCGGAAUUACUGGGCGUAAAGCGCACGUAGGCGGAUAUUUAAGUCAGGGGUGAAAUCCCGGGGCUCAACCCCGGAACUGCCUUUGAUACUGGGUAUCUAGAGUCCAGAAGAGGUGAGUGGAAUUCCGAGUGUAGAGGUGAAAUUCGUAGAUAUUCGGAGGAACACCAGUGGCGAAGGCGGCUCACUGGUCUGGUACUGACGCUGAGGUGCGAAAGCGUGGGGAGCAAACAGG
rnacentral:rRNA from 1 species